UAUUGUGGGGGGACUGCUAUUGACAUUUUAUUAGGCCACUUUUUCUUCAGUGCAAUAUAGACAAUCUAGAUUGCUUAAAUUCAAUUAUGAUUUAAAAAAAAAAAAAAAUUGAGAACCAUGACAUUAGGAUUUUAGCCAACUAGUUCGAAGGUAUCCUUAAGGCAUACUGUUUACCUUUUUGGAUAGAAAUAACAUAGUCUUUACUCUUUACCUUUUGAAAGUGCGUCAUUUUGGAAUGACUCUUUUCUAUCAUCUUUCUUCCAAUGUCAAUAUCGUGGGGCACAUAUACAUGUAAUUGAGUAAUAAACCAUUGGAAGAGAAAGGGGGUGGUGAUUACAAGUUUUCAUAUUUCAUAUUUUGGAAUGUAAAGUUCAAAAUUUUAAUAACACAAGGAAGACUAAGAAUAGAAGCACUCACAGGAAUUCGUAUUACUUUUCUCAAGUCCUAAGGGAUUAUAAGCUAAAACAAUUACAGCCUACAGCGAAGAUGAGAAUAUAUAGGAGGUUAGAUUGAGUUCUAAUAUUUAUUUUGCAUGGUAAAAGACAGUUCAUUAAAAUAAAAUGAUACUCUUACCAAGCUUCUCCCAUCCAACAAUAUAGCUUUUGAUGGAGAACAGUAACUUAUAAAUGUUUUUUUUACUCUUAAGAAUUAACCUUCAAUUUACUCUUCCCACUUAUUGAGUAUAAGGAAUGUGAUGUGAAUAUCUAGGAUUCUAGAUUAUAAUUCCUUCAGCUAAACAUUUUUUUUUUUUUGUUUGAAAGAAUCAAUCAUCUCAAUAACAAAGAAUAGAAUACAAACACCAAUCCAACAGCUAAUCAAUCAAUCAAUUAAUAUAUAUAUAUAUAUAUAUAUAUAUAUAUAAAAGCAAAGGCCUCGUGCAGGAGUGCAGCAUUUAUGAGUUCUUUGCAGCAUUUAUGUUCAGAACUUAAUUCCUUUCAGCAAUAAACAGUUCACUUCUUUCUCUCUCUUAACUCUUCAACUUCUUUCUCUCUCUUAACCAUUCAGUUCUUCCAGCAAAAAUUUAACUCUUUCAGCUUCCCUUUUCAUCAAUAUAUAAAUUUCUCUUCCCUUCUUUUGCAUUUACUCAUUUCUUUUCCUUUCUCUUCCCUCAAUUACAGCCAAAAAAAGUGUUAAAGAUUGAUUGGUUUUUAUAUGGAUGGAUUGACUCUUGCUCUACAAGCUCAUGGACAACAACUCCUUCAUCAAUGUCUGCAUACUCAGGGAGACUGAAACUUCAACUUUACCUGUUGCAGUCGGCAGGACUAAACCCAAGGAGGAAAACCACCGGCCCCUAAUUUAUCAAACCCUUCUUCUGUAUCAAAGAGUUCACCUCCAAGACGAGCUCGUAGUCCUCUUAGAAGGUCUCCUAUUGGUCGUAGGUGUACUCCUCCUAUUUGUACAACUGCUUGCUCACGUUCUCGAUCAGCUUCUCCAUGGAGUUUGUAUUACUUUUUAGCUUAAGCAUGCCGUUCUCUGUGGGGGUGUUGUUUACAAUAGAGGUCGAGCACUAGUUGGAAGACGUGGGCGGUCAUCAUCCUACUUUGGAUCACCUAGUCCACACAAGUUACCUCAGAGAUCAAGGAGUCGUAGCCUGAGAAGCUUGGAUGGCUCUUCCUCUGCCCCUGGGAUGGAGGGUGAGAUCAUAGAUUCAAGACUCACCAAGCAUUUGUCGAACUUUGCAAUGAAGAAAAAUAAAUUUACUACUCACUUUUAUGGGUAGAGAGGAGGAUAUGGGGUUUGUGGUCAUAAUAUAAUUUUAUAUAUUUGGCCGCUCUCCUGUCCUCUCCUCUCCCCCCAUCUCUCUUAAUCCAAACAUGGGAUUUCAACACGAUGAAUUUCAUUCUUAUGUGCAAGGCCCAUUAAAGGAAGAAGCAGUAGCAACAGCAGCCGCAGUAGUUCGCCAUUGCUGCCUCGUAAUGUAUGAUGUAAUGUCGAGGUGGUAUUGACUAUGAGAACAAGAUAUUGUGGCUGUAAUAUGCUCUCUGAUGGUAGCAUUUAGGUUUGUCUCAGUUAUGGUGACCAUUAGGUUUGUCUCAUUUAUGUUGGAGGCGAUGUUAAACACUAGUUAUUUGCUGUUUAUUUUUCAAAAAAUUAUUAAGCUAAACAUUCUGAUGGAAGAAACAAUAUGCAAAAGCUGUAUUCUUGCUUUUCUGAA